AAAUGGAUGCGGCUCCCACAUCCGGACCAGAACCCGGCCGCCCGGGAAAGGUAACCACGAUCCCAAACAGGAUGGACGUCUAUCUCUUCUUUUGUCAAAGGUCACUGGGACUGCACAACCUCUCUCAGUGAGGCCACCUCAUUUUGAGAAAAAUGAACACCUUUCCAACUGAGGUACGCGCGGGGAAUGUGGGCCCUCGGGGAAGAGAAGAAAAAGAUGAGGAAAAACAGCGGAGAAGAUAUUUUCCUUUUGAUGUCCCAGA